GGUUUGUGGAGGUGAUAGCGCCAGUUUUGUGGCACUAAUCUAGGUACGUGCGUACACUUUUCAGCACAAAAUUGGCAUUUUUGGACUUGUCUGAUAUGAAAGUGAGGACAAUGUGUUCGGCUGUUGAUUAUUUAACUUGUACAUGAUUGAUAAUUUUGGCUUGUGUGAACUGAAAAGAAGAGUUAACGAGUUUGAUUUCAGAAUGACCUCGUCCAUGGAUGGCCUAUUGACUCCUACAUCUGGAGGUGUGUCGAUAUAAGCAUUGCCUAAUUAUUGAGCAGCAACAUCUGAAAAUAUAUCAUGUGCAAUAUAUUGUCAUAUAUACGUAGUUGUAUAAAAAAAAUCUCUGUUGAUUUAAUUUGGCAGAAUCCCGAAGAGCAGAUUGCCAUUGUAGACGCUCAGUACAUGGUCCAUCAUGCAGUUCCCAUGCUCCAGGGCAAGGUAAUUGUAAG
rnacentral:lncRNA from 1 species